GGCCUACGGGGCGCAGCAGUGGGGAAUAUUGCACAAUGGGGGAAACCCUGAUGCAGCAACGCCGCGUGAGUGAAGAAGUAUUUCGGUAUGUAAAGCUCUAUCAGCAGGGAAGAAAAUGACGGUACCUGAGUAAGAAGCCCCGGCUAACUACGCGCCAGCAGCCGCGGUAAUACGUAGGGGGCAAGCGUUAUCCGGAUUUACUGGGUGUAAAGGGAGCGUAGACGGCGAUGCAAGUCUGAAGUGAAAGCCCGGGGCUCAACCCCGGGACUGCAUUUGGAACUGUAAGGCUAGAGGGUCGGAGAGGG
rnacentral:rRNA from 1 species